UACAGAGGGUGCAAGCGUUGUUCGGAAUCAUUGGGCGUAAAGGGCGUGUAGGCGGUCUGUUAAGUCAUGUGUGAAAUCCCUCGGCUCAACCGGGGAACUGCGUCUGAUACUGGCGGGCUUGAAUUCGGGAGAGGGAUGUGGAAUUCCAGGUGUAGCGGUGAAAUGCGUAGAUAUCUGGAGGAACACCGGUGGCGAAGGCGGCAUCCUGGACCGACAUUGACGCUGAGGCGCGAAAGCCAGGGGAGCAAACGGGG
rnacentral:rRNA from 1 species